AGAUAUAAAUGUAUGUUAUGUUAUUGCUUACCGUAUCUUAAACUCAACAAUCAGAGGAGCUUCCCGAACUCCGCGUUCCCACCCGAAGGUUGUGUUAUGUGUUUGGGGAGUCUGAUAAGGAAGUGAUAAGAAACCAGACGGAAGGAAUAUGUCAACUUGUCCUCAGUUCCACUUCUCCAUUGUUGUUGUGUGUGUGUGUGUAAAGCUUUCAAUAAAAGGCUGGACCAAAGGGUGGCUCGGCGGAAUGUCUUGGAGGUCGUCGUGCUCGUAGCACGUGCGUCUGAGCUUCCCCUUUGGCCAAAGCUUACAAAGAUACUACGUUGUCUGUGAUUCAUUUCUCACCUCCUUGACCGUGAAUAUUUUACAUGAUAUAGAGAGGAAAAAACCUAUCAUAACUUGGUGCCGUGACCCGGAUCCCAACAUACCCAUCGGCUGGAUUUUUCUUUUUCCUGCGGAGCCACUGACACCUGUGCAAGGCCCCGACUGAUCAUCGGAUUAAGAGACCGCUCAGCAGUGGAUAAUAAUUUCUGCAGAGAGGAGAUCCAGUCGUGGAUUGACGGGAUCCGGCGGAUCGGAAGACCGAGGGAGACUGACCCAGACAAAGUCGGCGACUGGGUCUUCAUCCGCGUCAUCAAGAAAAAGACGUGGAGCGACGCUCGCUGGGAGGGACCAUUCCAAGUCCUUCUGACGACUGCAACCGCUGUAAAGAUAGCCGAGAGGACCACCUGGAUACAUCUCUCCCAUUGCAAACUGUUCCCUACAGAAAUCCCGGACCAGUGCCCUGAUCCCGAGACGACCACGAGCAGAGGGGAAGACUGACUUCAAAGGGGGCUGUCCGCUUAAAAGACAGCCAUCUCAACGUCAGUGAAGAAACCAACAAUCCCUGCUCUUAGGUGUCGCCUCGGGUGAUGGAGCGAGAGGUCCCGAGGAACUCAAACGAGAGGAGCAAUCAGUACUCUAGCAUCGGUGUCUGGGCUCACCUCACGGAUGGAGCCCAUUGAAACGACCGCGUACAUUCAUAUGUAUGAUGACAUGGGAAGACCUGUCAAUGCUCCCGUUUAAGAAAAUAUAACGUAAACUUUUGGUUUAAGCUUGUAUGACAUAAUUGUGUAAAACUCCUCACAAGGAACGGACAAUUAUUGAUGUGAAGCUGCUGACUAAACAGUUUAAUUCCCAAAGAGAUUGGUGUGGUGUUACUAACAAAUUAUGUGUAACAAGAAUAAUCAUGAUUCUGCUUGGACUGCUUAACCCAAAUACGUAAAUCACAUGCUGCUUAGAAAUUAGACAAAUCAAAUGAGUGCCCUUAUUGACCAUGUUUAAAUAAUAAGCAAUAGCAUAAACAGGAGGGAACUGACAGAGAUAUAAAUGUAUGUUAUGUUAUUGCUUACCGUAUCUUAAACUCAACAAUCAGAGGAGCUUCCCGAACUCCGCGUUCCCACCCGAAGGUUGUGUUAUGUGUUUGGGGAGUCUGAUAAGGAAGUGAUAAGAAACCAGACAGAAGGAAUAUGUCAACUUGUCCUCAGUUCCACUUCUCCAUUGUUGUUGUGUGUGUGUGUGUAAAGCUUUCAAUAAAAGGCUGGACCAAAGGGUGGCUCGGCGGAAUGUCUUGGAGGUCGUCGUGCUCGUAGCACGUGCGUCUGAGCUUCCCCUUUGGCCAAAGCUUACAAAGAUA